AGAGUUUGAUCCUGGCUCAGGAUGAACGCUGGCUACAGGCUUAACACAUGCAAGUCGUGGGGAAACGGCAUUAUGUGCUUGCACAUUCUGGACGUCGACCGGCGCACGGGUGAGUAUCGCGUAUCCAACCUGCCCCUUACUUGGGGAUACCCCGUUGAAAGACGGCCUAAUACCCGAUGUGUUUCAUUGACGGCAUCCGAUAUGAAACAAAGGUUUUCCGGUAAGGGAUGGGGAUGCGUCUGAUUAGCUUGUUGGCGGGGCAACGGCCCACCAAGGCGACGAUCAGUAGGGGUUCUGAGAGGAAGGUCCCCCACAUUGGAACUGAGACACGGUCCAAACUCCUACGGGAGGCAGCAGUGAGGAAUAUUGGUCAAUGGACGUAAGUCUGAACCAGCCAAGUAGCGUGCAGGAUGACGGCCCUAUGGGUUGUAAACUGCUUUUAUGCGGGGAUAAAGUGAGGGACGUGUCCUUCAUUGCAGGUACCGCAUGAAUAAGGACCGGCUAAUUCCGUGCCAGCAGCCGCGGUAAUACGGAAGGUCCGGGCGUUAUCCGGAUUUAUUGGGUUUAAAGGGAGUGUAGGCGGUCUGUUAAGCGUGUUGUGAAAUUUAGGUGCUCAACAUUUAACUUGCAGCGCGAACUGUCAGACUUGAGUACACGCAGCGCAGGCGGAAUUCAUGGUGUAGCGGUGAAAUGCUUAGAUAUCAUGAGGAACUCCGAUCGCGAAGGCAGCCUGCGGGAGUGUUACUGACGCUUAAGCUCGAAGGUGCGGGUAUCGAACAGGAUUAGAUACCCUGGUAGUCCGCACAGUAAACGAUGGAUGCCCGCCGUUGGCGCCCUGCGCCUGCGGCCAAGCGAAAGCAUUAAGCAUCCCACCUGGGGAGUACGCCGGCAACGGUGAAACUCAAAGGAAUUGACGGGGGCCCGCACAAGCGGAGGAACAUGUGGUUUAAUUCGAUGAUACGCGAGGAACCUUACCCGGGCUUGAAUUGCAGGAGAACGAAACAGAGAUGUUGAGGUCCUUCGGGACUCCUGCGAAGGUGCUGCAUGGUUGUCGUCAGCUCGUGCCGUGAGGUGUCGGCUUAAGUGCCAUAACGAGCGCAACCCCUUUUCUUAGUUGCCAUCAGGUCAUGCUGGGCACUCUGGGAAUACUGCCACCGUAAGGUGUGAGGAAGGUGGGGAUGACGUCAAAUCAGCACGGCCCUUACGUCCGGGGCUACACACGUGUUACA
rnacentral:rRNA from 1 species